CGAAGCUAUUCUGGUGGUCACUACAUCGGCUCCAGGACCCCAGGGGGGACAGCGCUCUCCUUGAUGAGAAGGGGUUUCCCGUAGAAGGGAGAGCUGUCGUGGUGAGAAAGUCUCUUGGAUUCUCCAGUGACGAAGCUGUGAUCGCAGACCAGAGACAGGGAAAACUUGACAUUUGGAGAACAGCCGGGGCAGGAGCUAUCCCCUGAGCUCCACGUGUAAGAGAAAAGACUGGACCCGGAUUCCAGGGAUUUGGAGUUGGCGAUCACCUCGAAGUGGCAGUGCUGGGAGCUGGGGAAGCCUGAGAAAGUCAUGCUUUACAGUGGCCACCCGUACAAUUUGUCAGCCACCAUUCUGAGGUACACUGGACUCCGGUUAUGACGGUGAUGAAAUGUGCAUAACAGAAUGUGCAUCCUCCACCCACCCACCUUUGGCAGCUGUCACUCCUUUCUGUCGCGAGUUUGACUGUUCCCAGACCUCACGUAUGAAAAGAAACAUGCUAUACAGAGCAAGCUGG
rnacentral:lncRNA from 1 species